rnacentral:lncRNA from 1 species
AAGAGGAAGGAAGAAAUGGAAAGUGUAAGCCAAUGAAAGAAAGAACCAGUCACAUCGAAGCAACUUGAAUGUUUAUAAAGGAAAAUCAUAGAAGAAUGGACAUCCUUUACUCUUGAAAAGUUUAUGAAUAAGCUGCAUGUCAAAGCAAUAUCAUAAUCACAAAGUAGAGAAGAUAAUCCAUUGUUUUCUUGUAUAAAGUCAUUAGCAUUCUAACUUAUUCAUUCAUUUGUAAAUCACACAUUGAAAAGAAAACAAUUAGCACACUCUUUCACAUAUCUGUGAUAAGUCCUCAGGCCUACUCAGGAAGCUGUUGAAAAUGGGCAUGCUGAUUUGUUAUUAAUGCUUAUAUAUUUUAGAAAAAGCAUCCAAUUUAGAAAUUAAAUUGAUUUUUUUUUCUUUUUACAAAAUGAAAGUCAUUACUACAGGAGGUAGGGAGACAAGCAGGCAGACAAACAAGACAGCAGGGCAGAGCCCUGACUGGGGCAUAGGAUCUGUUCACAUCCCAUUUCUGUUGAAGGAAGAUUAUAGCCUAAGAGCAUACAGUAGAGGGUUGGAUUAGAACCUCCCAUCAGAAGCCAUCAAGAGGUAUUCUCUUUCCCCUGUUCUCUUGCACUUGUUUCUUUCACAAGUUUUUUCAGCAUUUUUGGGUACUCUGUUGUACAACCUAAAAUAAAUUAGGCAUCUAAUAAUAGUUUUCUUAAGGAGGCAAAAGGAAAAAAAAGUAGAAUUUGUAUUUCUCAUGUUUCUAAUACGGAUUCUUCUUUUAAAAGUAGCCCCAAGAAUGCAUCCUUAUUCUUUCAGCAUAAGAAUAUGCUGUCAGCUCUGGGGACACUAAGAUGAAUAGGGCACAACCUUACUUGCUAGGUUCUCAUAAUCCAGUUGGCUGCUCAGGAUAAGUCAAGCAUAAAGACAUUAUCAAGGCCCUGUGGGAAUUCAGAAGGGAGGAAAUUUAUUCCUGCUAAGGGACUCAGGGAAGGCUUCCUGGAAGAGGACAAUCAGAGCUGGACUUUGGCAGAUAGGUAGGAUCUGCACAUGAAGAGAUGGGAGGAGAUGGAGGCAGCUGUCACAUAGUUGAGAAAUCAUGUGAUGUGUUGGCUAACAGAACGCACUUUUUUCUUGGAGUCUGAGGCUUGGGAAGGGAAAUGACGGGAGGUCAGGUUAGCAAUAUAAGUUGAAGCUAGAUUGGUAGGGACAGCCUUGAAUGUCAGGCCAAUGUCUUUGGGACUUUAUAGGUAGUGCUAAGACAUAUCCAGAGAAUUAGCUAGGCAGUGUCACGAACAGAUAUUUAUAGCAUAUUGUGGCAAGAAACAUGAGUGCAGGAUGGUUGGAGGCCUUGAGGAGGGAGCCGCUAAGCUGCCAAGGUGUGAAAGCUGGAGCAUCGUCAAGGAAGCUUGCAUGAAAGUGAUGACAUUUUGCUGAACCUUGAAGGAUGGAUAUGAAUUCCCCAGGGAAUAGGUUGGGAAAGGACAUUUCAGGCAGAAAGAAUAGCACCUGCAAAGUCCCAGUGGUCUAUGAGGGAAUGUUAUGCUGAAGAAUGGCAAUUACUGUGAUGUAGAGAAUGCAGGUAUCUGGGAAUUGGGUAGCAAGAGACCAAGCUAGGAAGAGGGCAAAGACCAGAUCCCAGCAGAACUAGUAGGCCUGGCUGGGUGGUUUCAACUUCAAGGGCUGUAUGCAGGAAACAAUUGUGAUGUGUGCUUUUAGAAAUAUCAUGCUAGCAGUGGUGAGGAGGAUGCAUUAGCAUAAAUGAGAAAGGCUUAGCUUGCUGAGUGGUAGGGUGGCAAUGGAACUAAAAUACGUAAAGAAACAGUGUUUGGGGCUUAGAGAGAGUCUGGGCAAGACAGAGGGUGGACUGAAAGGAUUUAGGGGGAAUGGUUUUUAUACUUUAAUUAAUGCUGUGGUUUUCACAAUAGGUCUCUUUGUUUCAAAGGAAAUCUUACGCAAACUCCAUGAAAGAUAAGGGCCAAGCUGCAUGGAGUUCAGGUGGGAAUUGGGCUUGGAUCCAAGCCUGCUUGUUCCCUUGAAAUCCUGCAAUUUCGUGAUGGCUCCUGAGGUACCUCUUUGAACCCUUUGUAGUUCAGCAAAUGCAGUUUGAAAGCCACUGCCCUGAAAAGAUUCAUGUGCUCCACCAAAAACCCAGGCCUUUGCCCUCCAUGCUGCUGGGAGAGGGAAACUGGCCUCUUGCUGUCAUGGUUGGGCACCGAAAAAGGCAGGCUUAUCUAGGGACAAUGAACUUGAUCUCUUUUAGAGGCUCUCACUGAUCCUGGUGGCUCACUGAUGAGGCAUCUGGAGUAUUCUUUGAUACCUAGGGACAUUGUAGUUCCCAAGGCAUUUUGAACAAUCGUUUGUAGUCCAAUCAGGCCGAAUUCAUGAAAGGAAUUUCUGGGUUCUAGGUAGAAAGCAGGGCCAGACGCAGUGGCUUAUGCCUGUAAUCCUAGCUCUUUGGGAGGCUGAGGCAGGAGGAUCCCUUGAGACCAGGAGUUCAAGCUGUGAUUGCACCUCUGUACCCCAGCUUGGGCAACAGAGCAAGAUCCUGUCUCUUUAAAAAAUACAAGCAAGCAAGCAGGGGAUAAAAGAGGUGCCUAGGCCAGAGAUAAGCAAGGGGAGCUGGAGACAGGGCCAUUGUACAGGGAUGUCUGGCCCUCGGGGUCAGUGAGGCUGAUAUUCAGACAGUGCUUUUGGCAGCUGAUGAGGAGCUGCACUCUUCCAGAGGGAUUACCUUUUUCUAAUUCAUAGAAAGGCACCUUAUGCUCUAGCAUUGGAUAUUUGGGAAGAUAGCAUGAAGAGGUGGUGAAGAGCAAGAGAUAAAUGGGGAG